CCUACGGGUGGCAGCAGUGAGGAAUAUUGGUCAAUGGGCGGGAGCCUGAACCAGCCAAGUCGCGUGAGGGAAGACGGUCCUAUGGAUUGUAAACCUCUUUAGGCGGGGAGCAAUGCCGGGCACGCGUGCCCGGAGGGAGAGUACCCGCAGAAUAAGCAUCGGGUAACGCCGUGCCAGCAGCCGCGGUAAUACGGAGGAUGCGAGCGUUAUCCGGAUUUAUUGGGUUUAGAGGGUGCGUAGGCGGAUUUUUAAGUCAGCGGUAAAAUGUCCGGGCUCAACCCGGGCCGGCCGUUGAAACUGGGGAUCUUGAGUGGGCGAGAAGUAUGCGGAAUGCGUGGUGUAGCGGUGAAAUGCGUAGAUAUAUGGAAGAACACCAGUGGCGAAAGCGGCUCUCUGGUCUGUAACUGACGCUGAGGUUCGAAAGCGUGGGUAGCAAACAGGAUUAGAUACCCCAGUAGUC
rnacentral:rRNA from 1 species